rnacentral:lncRNA from 1 species
CCCUACCGUUAAACCACCUACUCACACCCCAAAGCCUCCCACUGUGAAGCCUCCACCUCCAUACAUUCCAUGCCCUCCUCCGCCCUAUACUCCAAAACCUCCAACCGUGAAGCCACCACCACCUCCCUACGUGAAGCCACCACCACCUCCCACUGUGAAGCCACCACCACCUCCUUACGUGAAGCCACCACCACCCCCUACCGUGAAGCCACCACCACCACCCACGCCGUAUACUCCACCACCACCCACGCCGUAUACUCCUCCACCACCCACGGUGAAGCCACCACCACCACCGGUCGUUACCCCACCACCGCCAACACCAACCCCAGAGGCGCCAUGUCCGCCACCACCACCAACACCAUAUCCUCCUCCGCCUAAACCGGAA